AUGGUGGUUGUAGCUUAGUUGGUUAGAGCGCCAGAUUGUGGCUCUGGAGGUCGCCGGUUCGAAUCCGGUCUUCCACCCUGCCA
rnacentral:tRNA from 1 species